GGCACAGCACGGCCAGCCAGCAUGGGGCCUUCAGAUAGAGAAGGAGGGUAUAAAGGCUAUGGGAGCUCCAAGUCACUACUGCCAGCAGCCACCAGGUUCCAGAUGCCAACCUGACGUACCUGGGGAGAUGACUCCACCAAUUUUGAGUAUAGAUUGCCCUGCUAAUGCCUAUGUUCAGUGGAGAAACAAUAACAGAAGCCAGACCUUCCACCAUCUGCACCCAACAAUGAUCCGGAGAGCUUUUAACGGGAGAGGAUGGGAUACGGAGUUCUGGUGGUGGGGAUUGUGUGGAAUUAUAUCCCUCUUACCCUGUGGUCUUGUCAAUAUCUCCAUUUUAUAAAUAAAAAAUAAAAAGAAGGUGCUGAAUGA